rnacentral:rRNA from 1 species
CGAAGGGGGCUAGCGUUGUUCGGAAUUACUGGGCGUAAAGCGCACGUAGGCGGAUAUUUAAGUCAGGGGUGAAAUCCCGGGGCUCAACCCCGGAACUGCCUUUGAUACUGGGUAUCUCGAGUCCGAGAGAGGUGAGUGGAAUUCCGAGUGUAGAGGUGAAAUUCGUAGAUAUUCGGAGGAACACCAGUGGCGAAGGCGGCUCACUGGCUCGGUACUGACGCUGAGGUGCGGAAGCGUGGGGAGCAAACAGGAUUAGAUACCCUGGUAGUCCACGCCGUAAACGAUGGAAGCUAGCCGUUGGCAAGUUUACUUGUCGGUGGCGCAGCUAACGCAUUAAGCUUCCCGCCUGGGGAGUACGGUCGCAAGAUUA